rnacentral:rRNA from 1 species
AUGCCGGCGAUGCUACACUGCAUCGCCUCCCCGCUGCAUCGAAGCUCAAGGCCGUCGGUGAAGCUUCAUUGCAACACCACCCGCCGCAUCACAGCCUGGGGCUCGCUGGUGAGGCUCCAGUGCAGCGUGGGUGAAGCUUCGUUGCAGCUCCGCGUGCUCAUCGCAGCUUCGGGCGCCGCGGGUGAAAAGCUUCCUUGCAACACCGAGCUCCAGGCCUCCGUGCGGGCACUAUGCCGCAGCACAGGAACCACCGGCGAGCACUCCGCUGCAACACCGCCACGCGCAUGCGGCAGCGACGCCUAA